ACAAAAAUUAUAGAAAUUUUUUUCCUUUGUUCAUAUGCAUAUUCAUGAUUAUAAUUUGGCUUUGUUUGUGAUUAAUGUUUUCUUAAGAUUUUCACAUUAUAGAAUACCUCAAAAGAAGUUGUCUAAGGACUGGGAUAGAGAGUAUGUUUCAUAAAAUUGUAGAUGUUUAGAAUUUUUAAAAACCCUACAAAUUAGUAUAUGAUUGUUUUAUAUAAGUAAGAUAGGAGCAACACUUUAAAUUAUUUGUGGGAGAAUACAGCAUUAAAGGUGAUUUUAAAAGAAAAAAAUUUGGAAUUUUAGAAAAUUUAAAUGCUGUCAGGUAUGGAAUGCUGGGCUUCCAAUCCUGGCCUCAUUGUCUCCUCACCUGUGAUGUUGGAUGAGUUAUUACACUUGAAAUGUCUUUAAGCCUUAGGUUCCACAAGUAUGAAAACAAGUAAGUAACAGUAUCCUUUCUAGACUUGUUUAAGAUUUCCAUGUAAGUAAUUAUAAUGACUUCUGACACAUAAUAAUGUCGUCUUAUACCCCAACAGUAGGAAAAAAAUGCAGAAUUCAGUAUGAAAGUAUUGUUACCCUUUAACACAGUGGUCCCCAACCUUUUUGGCACCAGAGACCAGUCUCCUGGAAGACAGUUUUUCCGUGGGAUCGGGGGAUGGUUUUGGGAUGAAACUGUUCCACCUCAGGUCAUCAGUCAUUAGUUAGAUUCUCAUAAGGAGCGUGCAACCUCAAUCCCUUGCAUACUCAUUUCACAAUAGGGUUCAUGCUCCUAUGAGAAUCUAAUGCCACCACUCAUCUGACAGGAGGUGGAGCUCAGGCAGUAAGUCUCCCUCGCCCGCCACUCACCUGCUGGGCGUUCCUGUUCCUAGCAGGCCAGAAUUGAUACUGAUCUAGGGGUUGGGGACCCCUGCUUAACAUGUUGAGAUUAAAUGGAGAAAGACUUAAGCUUUUACUUUUGUGAUUGACACUUGCUUCAAUAAUGUAACCUUGUUCUGUGUUUUUAUCAUUUAUUAACAAAUUUCUUUUUUCUUAAGGGAAGCCUCCAAAAUCAAAGAAAAGUGAGUUACAAUCCAUAAUGAAUAUUUGCCUUACCAGCCUACUGGAACACAUUCAUCAAGAACUUAAGAGGAAGAAAGUUUUCUGCCUUCCUCCUUCCUAGUGCUCUCAGCUAUCAACUUUGAAAUAAGUUUAAACAACACCUACUGAAAACAAAAACCACUUAGUAUAAAAAUAUCCCCCACCAGAAUUGGGUCCCCCAUAUCAUUUCUACAAAACAGUUCUGGAGUGGAUCAAAGUCUCAUCAGAUCAGCUUGCCCCUUCUUGUUUGGGCAGGUUCUAGGAGAAGCUGCUGUAAUACAAAAACUGAAAGAUGAAAUCGUAAAGCUAGAUAAUGAUAAUGAUAUUUAGUGGGGAAGGCUACAGUAUGUUUUCCCAUAGGCAUUUAAACACUCACUUUUUCCAACGCUUUAUACUUUGUCCCUAUAGCCUUUGUAAUUUUAACUUUGAUGACAGUUUAACUUAGGAUAACCUGAAUAUGGGUAUUACUGUUAGUCAUUUGUAUUUUUAUCAUUUAACAUUUUAAAUGAAUGUUUAAUUUGCUGGGUUGAGUAAUGCCAAGGGAAUGAUGCUAAAAACAAAUAGAUGUGAGGUUAGUAAAAGAUUAAAGUUACAAUUUAUGAUACGAGAACUUCUUAACUAUAGGAAAGUAGGUAAAUGACCCUAAAAGGUUUUCUCAGAAGGUAAAAGUUUUACAUCAGUCUGAAGACAUAUAACUCUAACAUUUCAGUUUAGUUACUGAAAUGACUUUUUCUGGUGUCAUUGAGAUACUGGCUGUUUGUUCCAAGCCAUUUUAGGCUGAGAAUGACUCUUAAGGUCUUCUAAUGCAUUUCAGAGGGUUCUAGAAACAACAAACUGAACAUGAUAUGAAACUAACAACAUAGAAUGCCCCCCAAACAAAUUCCUCUAACCUCACUGAGUUUACUUGCCCUAUUACUAUUUUUUUUUUUUAAGAUCUUCUGUCUCUUGUUUUUGUUUUAUCCCUUACCUGAUGAAAGUGAACAUUUCUAGUGGAGAAAGAAGAUCACAGUUCUCUAAUAUGGGCAUUAAGAGAGGGGUACAGCUAGAGGGGAGGUGAAAACCUGCCUCCACUGGGGUGAAAAACAGUGUGCUGAGGUUUCAGCCAGUGAUUACACUGGGUAAUCAACCAGUCCCAUGUUUCACAAAGGAGUUGUAAUGAUUAACAGUUCAGGUAUGCUUCUGAGGAAAUCUAAUUGAGACCUUUGGAAAAUAGCAUUGUUAUGAAUGGUGUGGUGUUACGCCCUGAGGGAAAAGCUAGAAAAACAUUUUACUUUUCAAGUGUAUUUAAAUUACAUCCAAAUGUUUCAGUGUGCUUUACUGGAGACUGCCUGAGUUUGGAAUUCAAAUAUUGUAACCAAAUUACUCCAGGUUUCUGAACUAAAAUGAUCUAUUGAUGUUUCUCAAAGUAUAGAUCACAGAGUAAGAAAAGAGGAAAUCAAGUCUGGUUUAUGACAAACUUUUUUCCAUGUUAACAUUGGACCCAAAGAUGUUACUAAGAGCUUUUUACUACUGUGAGAGAACCAGCGUGAUGUGAAGACAACGAACAUUUUAAGAAGUUUGACUAGUAGACAUUUCGUUUAAGUCUUUUGGAGGGUCUUGGUUGACAACCCACAAUUUUAUUGUGGCUCCCCAGGCUUUGAGAACGUGUGGGCUUGGAUGAUCAUUGUUGACCUAUAAAAGAGCACAGGUCUCUUGAGAGUUUAUUGACACACUACUGAUCAGACCCCCACAAUAUGUCUCAACCUCUGUUGAAGGGCUAGUGAUGUUUAAAAAAACCUGUUAUUUCCAAUCAGAAAUUGAAGUUAUGUCUCUUACUCCAUCAAAAUUUAUGCUUUUCAGCAUUGGUCAAACCAAGUUUUUCCUGUCUUGUCUGGGCACAGACAAGCACUUAUGCUGACGGUUUACCGUGACAGCAUGUAGGGUUGGGUCUUCAUUACAAAGAUCUGCCCACUAGCUGAGUACACUGGUGUUUUUCCAUUCACCUCUGCCCAGCAGGACAAGAUGAUGAAAGUACAGAGAACUUGUGGGUCCAGGUUUGUGUCAGAAAGGAGGUUAGUGGCUUGCUUAGGGCCAGGCAGAGGGCACAUUGGAAGGAAUUCUCUGUUCCCGGUGACAGCCCUUGGAAUUGCUGUGCACCCAGAGUUGCGGAGUAAUUUAUUGGCUUCUGAUAACUAUAGUAUUGGAUAACUUCCCAACAUUUUAUUAAAAAUUUUAAACAUAUAGGCAUGUUGAAAGAAUUUAUACUCACCACCUAGAUUUUGCCACUAUCACAUAUCUGUGCAUCCUAUUAAUACAUUUUUAAUUAUUAUUUUUUUGAGACAGAGUUUCUUUUACUCAGGCUGGAUUGCAAUGGUGCAAUCUCAGCUCACUGCAACCUCUGCCUCCAAGAUUGAGGCGAUUCUCCCACCUCAGGCUCCUGAAUAGCUGGGACUACAGAGGGGAGCCACCAUGCCCGGUUAAUUUUUGUAUUUUUGGUAAAGAAGGGGUUUCAUCAUGUUGCCCCAGGCUGGCCUUGAACUCCUGGGCUCAAGUGAUCCUCUGGCCUCAGCCUCCCAAAGUGCUAGGAUUACAGGCAUGAGUCACCGUGCCCAGCCAGCCAUUAAUGCAUUUUUAAUAUAUUUUUAGUCAAUUGCAGACAUCGUACAAUUUUCCCUAAACGUUGCAACAUGCCUAUUCAUUACAGUUCAGUAUUUUUCAGGAUUUUUUUUUUUUGUAAAAUUUACAAAGAAAUGUGGAAAUCUUAGUUGUGCAUUAGUUGAGUUUUAACAAAUACCUAGGCUUUAUCGCAACCUCUAUCAAGAUACAGAACAUUGCUGUCAUUCUAGAAGCCUCUGUAAUGUGCCUUCCCCAGUCAAUCUCUUUUUCCAUGGCCCCAGCAGCCAUCAUUCUUUCAAUACUUUAAAAAACAUUCUUAUCUGAAGGGAAAUUUCAUAUGUGCCAAAGUCAUCUCUAGAUUUCUCCAAGUCUUAACCAUGCCAGAGUACAGCCAAACCUAGCCCUUCAUGCAUCUCAAAUAAAGUUCUAAGAUCUUGGUAUUUUAUUCUUCCCUGUUUCAACUUAGCUCCAACUCUUUUUUUCUUUUUUCCAUCAAGAUUUAAACCUGUCAUCCUUGACAUUUGGGGCAGAAACUGCUGAAAUGAAGGAGGACUUGCCAUCAAAGAACUGGCUGAAAGGAGUUAGCACACCACUCCUCUGCCCUGAACAGUUCUAAGCAAGAGGAGGAGCCUGUGGCAGGGCGUGAUAUGAAGUCCUCAGAGAUAGAGUGCCAAGAGUAGAGGGAGUAUCCUGGAACUUCAGUGUUUGCAGGUCAGUUGCUCAGUUCUUCAGAAGAUAUUGAUUCUUAGGCUCUAAUUUUCUUAAGGUAUGAGCUGAACUGAAGUGCUCUCUCCUCCUUAGGAUUUUGUACUCCAAGGUUGGCAUUCAGAAUCCGCAUAGCCAGAGAGUGCUGUAUACAAGCAGGGCUGUUAGCAUCUGCUCAGCUUCUGAUGAGGCCCAGGAAGCUUUUGGUCUUGGUGGAAGAGAAGAGGAGCCAGCAUAUUACAUGACGAGAGGAAGCAAGAGAGAUACCAGGCUCUUUUAAGCAACCAGUUCUCAUGUGAACGCAUUGCUACUGAGAAAGUGCCAAACCAUUCACGAGGGAUCCACUACCUAGACCCAAACACCUCCCCCUAGGCCCCGUCUCCAACAGCGGGGAUCAUAUUUCAACAUGAGACUUCGAGGAGACAAAUAUCCAAACCAUAUCGCCCACGUUUAGGAAUGUCUCUCCAUGGUAGAUGAUUUGCAAAUAGACGGUGGUAUACCCAUUCCAUGGAAGCAGGGAAAUAUGUUUGCACGUCUUUGGUUAGUCCUCUUCUUUUCUACUGACAGUGGGCUUGUCCAUGUGUCCUGCAUGAUCAAAAUGACAAUAGCAAACUUGAUGGCCACAGAAGAUUGAAAAGUGCUUGGGCAUUGAGCUUGCUCUCUCUUGAAGUGCUUGGAGCCCUGAGACUGCCAUGAGACCACAUAAAUGAUCACUAGCUAGCCUGCUGGAGGAUGAGAGGUCACUUGAGAAACCUUGGCUCACAGCCUGCUUACACCAGACACAUGGAUGAGUCUGUCUUAGACUAUCCAGCUCCAGCUGAGUUGCCAGCUGACUUCAGUCACAUGAGUGAGAACAACAGAAGGACAGCACUGAGCUCUGCCAAAAUUGCUGACCUACAGAAUCUUGAGCUAAUGAAUGAUUGUAGCUUUAUGCCAUUAAGUUCUGAGGCAGUGUGCUAUACAUAGCAAAAGCUAACUGAUACAAAACUAAAGAUACAAUGGCACAAACAUGAAAAGACAUGUUCACCGAAGCAUUGCCUAUAAUAGUUAAAGACUGGAAACGACUCAGAUGUCCACCAACUCAGGAGUGGUUGAACCUACUACAGUGCAUUCACCCCGUGGAAUACUAAGCAGCUCCAACAGGGGUAGGAAAUUUGUAUACUUUCAUAAAAUGAUCUUUAGGAUAUAUUGUUAAGUGAAAAAAACAAGGUGUAGAAUAGUUAAUAGAGUAUGCUACCUCUUAUUUAAUAAAGGGAGAAUAUAAAUAUGUAUUUUGCUUUUAUUUAGAAAAUGAAAGAAUAAGAAACCACUAAAAUGAUUUUUUAGAAGAAAGCAAGGGGACACAGAUGGAAGUUAGAUUUCUCUAAAUUUACUUUGUUUUGUAGCUAGAACUUUAGAACCAUGUCAAUGUUUUACACACGUCACACUUAUAAUCAAGAUAAAAAAUACUUAUACAGUGAUGUGUCACUUAAUGACAGGGAUAUAUUCUGAGAAAUGGUGCCGUUAGGCACUUUUGUCCCUGUGCCAACAUCAUAGAAUAUACCUACUGCACACCUAGGCUAUAUGAUGUAGUCUAUUGCUCCUAAGCUACAAACCUGUAUAGCAUGUUACUGUACUGAAUACUGUAGGCAAUUGUAACAGAAUGGUAAACAUUUGUGUAUCUAAACAUAGAAAAGGUACAGUAAAAACACAGUAUAAAAGUCAAAAAAUGGUACACUUGCAAGGGCACUUACCAGGAAUGGAGCUUAGAGGUUGGAAGUUGCUCUGUAUGAGUCAGUGAGUGAGUGGUGAGUGAAUGUGGAGGCCUAGGAAAUUAUUCUACACUACUGUAGAAUUUAUGAACAUUUGGGCUACACUAAAUUUAUAAAAAACAUUUUCUUCUUCAAUAAUGAGUUAGCUCACUGUAACUUACUUUUUAAACUUUUUAAAUGUUUUUUAAGUUUUUAACUCUUGUAAUAACACUUAGCUUAAAACACACAUUGUACAGCUGUACAAAAAUAUUUUCUUUAUGUCAUUCUAUAAGCUUUUUAAAAUAUUUUCAAAUGUAUUUUUUUUUUUAAAGCUUAAAAAAAACAUGUAAGAGGCCGGGCGCGGUGGCUCACGCCUGUAAUCCCAGCACUUUGGGAGGCCGAGGCGGGUGGAUCACGAGGUCAGGAGAUCGAGACCAUCCCGGCUAAAACGGUGAAACCCCGUCUCUACUAAAAAAAUACAAAAAAUUAGCCGGGCGUAGUGGCGGGCGCCUGUAGUCCCAGCUACUUGGGAGGCUGAGGCAGGAGAAUGGCGUGAACCCGGGAGGCGGAGCUUGCAGUGAGCCGAGAUUGCGCCACUGCACUCCAGCCUGGGCGACAGAGCGAGACUCCGUCUCAAAAAAAAAAAAAAAAAAAAAAAAAAAAAAAAAAAAAAAAAAACAUGUAAGACACCCACAUAUUAGCCUAGACCUACACAGGGUCAGGAUCAUUAAUAUCAGUGUCUUCCAUCUCCACAUCUUGUCCCACUGGAAGGUCUUGAGGGGCAAUAACAUGUAUGGAGCUGUCAUUUCCUAUGAUAACAAUGCCUUCUGGAAGGCUUCCUGAAGGACCUGCCUGAGGCUCUUUUUGAGGCAGUGUCACUCUUUUCAGAAAUAUGUCCAUGGUGGUUUACUCAAUUUGCUUCUUUUUUAUUCAUAGAUUUGCAUAUGUAAUGCAUUGCGCUAUACCAUUAAGACAGCUAUGAUGUCACUGCAGUUACAGUGUCACUAGGUGAUAGAAAUUGUCCAGCUCCAUUACAACCUUAUGGAACCACUGGUGCAUACGUGGUUCAUUGUGGUCCAUUGUUGACUGAAACAAUGUUAUGAGGUGCGUAACUAUAUAUCCAAAGCAAAAGCUAAAUGAAAUAAAUGAAACUAAUUGUGUUGGUGUCCUAAACACACAGAGGAGAAUUACUUCAAGUAUUUUUAAAACACAGUCACUUGUCUAUGCAUUUUUAGUGGAUAUGCCCUAAAGUAUGAAACUAAAUUAAAAAUAAAUAAAAAAUUAAAAAUAAAAUUAAUUUACAAAUAGUAUUAAUAUUGAAUAAUAAUAUAUGUUAAUAUUGUUACUCUGAAUCUAUUAUAUACAUUUUGGAGGAUAAAUAACAUGCAAUUUUGUUAAUAUUAGGAAUCAAGAAACUAUAUAUAUAAAAUCAAAGCUGCUAAAUAAAAUUAUAAAUUGUGUUUAUAAUUACAAAUUUGAAUUGGAAAUAUCAUUAUAAAAUCAUAAUGUAUUUCCUUUACAGAAGCACAUUUUCUAGCCCUGUUAUUUGAAAAUCAGUAAUGAGCACCCUUAGAAUGCAGAUUAUAGUCUCUAAAUGCAAUUUUCUGCUAAAAGGAAUAAGAAUUCCUUGGAGAAAUGACGAAUGUAUGAGAUGAGCUGAAAACAUCUUGUUGAACAUGAAAUAAAGGAAACCCUUAAAAAAUACUGCAUUUUUAAGGACUAGGAGCCAAUUUAAAGGGAUUAUUUCUUGCCAAAGAUGGGAAAUUGUGUAUACCAAAACAACAGUUGUGAUAAAUUGAAAUUCAUAUUAAAAUCUGAGAGUUUAAAAUUA